AGCUUUGCGCAUUGGCGAUAUCGUAACCAAUGAAGUUCUACCGAGGUGCGAUUAUUGCUAGUUGAAAUAGAGAAAAAAAACUUCGAAAGAUCGGAUCGAAAAUAAACCGAUUUAAUCAAUUUUUCCAAGGCUAAAGAAUC